GCCUAAAGGAUAAGGCGCCGGAUUCCGGAUCCGGAGAUUGCAGGUUCGAGUCCUGC
rnacentral:tRNA from 1 species